ACAAGGUUGUCGUCGCUGUAGGUACUUAAUGAAAUGGUAAAAGAAUCGUCGUUUUAGCCUAUGAUUGGGGUUUAAUUUAAACGACGAAAAAGUUAUCCACUUAUCACUUUGCUUCUCCUCUCUCAACUUAUUUCACAGUCUCAAAGUUGAACCCUAAAUCUCUAAUUCCAUUGGUAGUGUCGCUGGUGAUAAAAGUUCCACGAGCCUCUGCCUUGUGUGCCGCUCCUUAAUGUGUCUUCUCUCUCUCUCUCUCCAAGAGACGGGUGAAAGCUGGUUCAAUAAGAUUUGAGGGCAAUCCAAGUCUAAUUUCAAUGGAUUUCGCAUUCCAAUUGAAGCAAUUGCAAUAUCUUCUGGUGGAAUCUCUUAUUUGUACUGCUCAUCUCCAAAUUUGAUAAAUUGAUCACUAACCCCAUUUGGGUUUUGUUUCAAAUGUACCUUAUAUGUGAUGUCUAAGAUUUAGGGGCAGUGAUAGUUAAUGGGUGUUUUUUUAUACAAAGAUAACAGGGCAUAAUUUGUAUGAAAUUUUCUACUGGGUGUAUUUAUUUUAAGUGCUAAAUGUGACCAAAAUAAUUAUUAACGUAAUGAAUUUAAAUUGCUUGGUGACUUUA